CCCUUAGAUGUUCUGGGCCGCACGCGCGCUACACUGAUGCAUUCAACGAGCCUAUCCUUGACCGACAGGUCCGGGUAAUCUUUGAAUCUGCAUCGUGACGGGGAUAGAUUAUUGCAAUUAUUAAUCUUCAACGAGGAAUGCCUAGUAGGCGCAAGUCAUCAGCUUGCGUCGAUUACGUCCCUGCCCUUUGUACACACCGCCCGUCGCUCCUACCGAUUGAAUGAUCCGAUGAAUAUCAUGGAUUGAGGAUUAUAGCAGGUUCGCCUGUCUUGAUCUUCGAGAAGUGAAGUAAAUCUUAUCAUUUAGAGGAAGGAGAAGUCGUAACA
rnacentral:rRNA from 1 species